AGCAGCCGCGGUAAUUCCAGCUCCAAUAGCGUAUAUUAAAGUUGUUGCAGUUAAAAAGCUCGUAGUUGAAUUUCGGGAUCAAUGCGUCGGUCGUGCUUUCGGGUACGUACUGGUGUCAUUGGUUUCUCCUUUCUGACGAGCCGUGAUGUCAUUAAUUUGGUGUUACGGGUAGUUAGGACUGUUACUUUGAAAAAAUUAGAGUGUUUAAAGCAGGCAUUCGCUUGAAUACAUUAGCAUGGAAUAAUGAAAUAGGACGUUCGACCCUAUUUUGUUGGUUUCUAGGAUCAACGUAAUGAUUAAUAGGGAUAGUUGGGGGCAUUAGUAUUCAAUUGUCAGAGGUGAAAUCCUUGGAUUUAUUGAAGACUAACUACUGCGAAAGCAUUUGCCAAGGAUGUUUUCAUUAAUCAAGAACGAAAGUUAGGGGAUCGAAGACGAUCAGAUACCGUCGUAGUCUUAACCAUAAACUAUGCCGACUAGGGAUCGGAUGAUGUUAAUUUUUUAAUGUACUCAUUCGGCGCCU
rnacentral:rRNA from 1 species